rnacentral:rRNA from 1 species
GAUCCUGGCUCAGGACGAACGCUGGCGGCGUGCCUAACACAUGCAAGUCGAACGGAGAUGUUUAUUUCGGUAGAUAUCUUAGUGGCGCACGGGUGAGUAACGCGUGAAUAACCUGACCCGAAGAGGGGGAUAACACCUGGAAACAAGUGCUAAUACCGCAUAAGACCACGGACCGGCAUCGGUCAGAGGUCAAAGGAGAAAUCCGCUUUGGGAGGGGUUCGCGUCCCAUUAGGUAGUUGGUGAGGUAACGGCCCACCAAGCCGACG